rnacentral:rRNA from 1 species
UACGGAGGGGGCAAGCGUUGUUCGGAAUUACUGGGCGUAAAGCGCGCGUAGGCGGCGAUGCAAGUCAGAGGUGAAAUGCCCAGGGCUCAACCUUGGAACUGCAUCUCAUACUGGCAGGCUAGAGUAUGGUAGAGGGAGGUAGAAUUCCACGUGUAGCGGUGAAAUGCGUAGAGAUGUGGAGGAAUACCAGUGGCGAAGGCGGCCUCCUGGACUAAUACUGACGCUGAGGUGCGAAAGCGUGGGGAGCAAACAGGAUUAGAUACCCCUGUAGUC